rnacentral:lncRNA from 1 species
AUUUGUCCCAAAAUACAGUGCUGGGGUCAGGGGAUAGUGGAGGGAAGGGUGUUAACAUUUAAGUCAUCAGUUCUUAUUAAUCUCUCACAGGCAUGUCUGUCCUACAAAUGCUUAGGAGAAAAGUGAAAUGCCCCUGUAGUGAGCACUAGGGACUGUCUAACUUGGGAGCCCUCAACUAUCAAAGUCUCCCUCUAGCCACCUUGUUCCUGCUGGCUUCUCGCCCACCACACCACCAAUUCCUCCCAUCACUUUGAAGUCGGAAGCCACAGGACAGAAAGCUCUCACUCACCAAUGCCAUGCCCGAGUCUAUCUGAAACAAUGUCUCAUCAAGAAUUCAGGGCUCUUCCUUGGACUUGCUGAGAGUCUCCCCGCUCUGAAGGGGAGAGGGGCCUGAGAAAGCCCACCAUUGGCUUAACUUUAGUGCAUUGUCCAGAAUCAGUAAGAUGUGGUUUAGCAAUGACCGCGUCUAAAUGAGGUUUUAGGUAACUGGAUGAUUGCGGAAUUCAACCACACAAGGAAAUGCUGUACUCCAAAAUUUACCUCCCAAUAAAAAUUCAGCCGAAGUAGUAAGAAGACCCUAAAGAUAAAAAUGGUUAAGGACCAGCCUGAGAAAACUUGCAUGUCUGAAUAAAGCAAGGACCAACUAUGAACUCAACAGACGCAAGAGUUGAUGCUAACUCCCCUUGUGUGGUCUCAAAUGCAUGACUGUUCAGUGUGUUUAUAAAAGCAAAUGGAGUUGGAAUUUCACUCAAUUAAUUGAGUACUAGCAACCUUUUUAAAAAUUUUCCCCUUGUGUAUUUUGAAUCCAAGGAAGAAGGUACAAGAUGGAAAGUAAAGGAAUAGCAUGAUGGGGGUCUACCUAUCCUCCAGUAAUAUUCCUUGCUGAUGC